rnacentral:hammerhead_ribozyme from 1 species
AUCUUGCUAAAGAGUGCCAAAUAGUACGAAACCCGGGUCCAGGAU